rnacentral:lncRNA from 1 species
CACGAAGAAAAUAUUUUGUUGUGAAUGAAUAAGGUAGUGAGGAAUUGUCCAUAUGUAAGAUCAUAAUUAUUGAUACGGGUCUUUUCCACAUAAAAAGGGAAUCUUUUGUUACAAUAGAACCAGAAGUGAUUUGGAUCAUUCAAGAAUCGAAGUCGAUUUGCUUUAUAAAAAGAAGAUAUCAAUGAACUUCUAUGAAAUGGUUUCACGGGAUUGAGCCAUUGUCUCGAUCAUGGAAUAUCAUUGAGAAAUAGGAAUCCGUGUUAUCAAAAAAUUUCCUACGAUUAUUUCUAGUAUAGAACAAGUCAAUCAUUCACUUUGGUAUCUUUUGAACAAAAAUGGUAAUGUUGUUCCUCCAUUGAUAAAGAAUUCCGGUCUUUGGGAAGUAUCAUGAUCAUCCAAUAAGAAGGGUUUCAAUUUAUUCAAAUGAACGAUUUGAACACCUAUUGAUUCUAACAACUGAUUGCGGAGUUGAUCAUUCGGACCUUUCAAUUUACGAAUAUGGAUCUUGGACCUAAGAGUGGGGAUAUUCCCGAUACUCACAAAGAAAAGGGGAAGUGACUUGGACAAAAAGAAACGAAGUGACUUAGACAAAUUUUGUUUGUCGAUAGCCUCGGACCAAUCAAUCGAAUAUUGAUUAAUAUGUAAUCAAUCAAAAUGAAAUGAAAUGUAAUGUGUAUCAAUAAAUCUUCAAUAGAUAUACUAUUCCAAAUGUUCAUGAAAAUGUUCCAUGACUGUAACGUGUAUCGAUAAAUCUGGAAUAGACAAAUUUUGUUUGUCGAUAGCCUCGGACCAAUCAAUCGAAUAUUGAUUAAUACGUAACCGAUCGAAAUGAAAUGAAAUGUAAUGUGUAUCGAUAAAUCUUGAAUAGAUAUACUAUUCUAAAUGUUCCUAAAAAUGUUCCAUGAUCGUAACGUGUAUCGAUAAAUCUUGAAUAGACAAAUCUUGUUUAUCGAUAGCCUCGGACCAAUCAAUCGAAUAUUGAUUAAUAUUGAGUAAUGUUCGAUUGGUUACGUAUUAAUCAAUAUUCGAUUGAAUAGAUUUUCCAUGACUAUAACGUAUAUCGAUAAAUCUUGAAUAUCGAUAAUAUAUUUAUCGAUAAAUGUAUCGAUAAAUGUUCAUCGAUAAAUAAAUCAAAUUGGAAAACGGAAAGAUUUGUACAAGUUAUACGUUUUGUCACCACUUUGUGGAAAAUCUUUAGGUAUGAAUAUGUUAGAUACCUAUGACUCGAUUGGUGAAAUAGUCUCUCUCCCAAAAAAUAUUUUUUUUUUUACCAACGCAUGGAGAAAAUAUUUUGUUGCGAAUGAACAAGGUAGUGAGGAAUUGUCCAUAUGUAAGAUCAUAAUUAUUGAUACGGGUCUUUUCCACAUAAAAAGGGAAUCUUUUGUUACAAUAGAACUAUAAGUGAUUUGGAUCAUUCAAGAAUCGAAGUCGAUUUGCUUUAUAAAAAGAAGAUAUCAAUGAACUUCUAUGAAAUGGUUUCACGGGAUUCAGCCAAUUGUCUCGAUCAUGGAAUAUCAUUGAGAAAUAGGAAUCUGUGUUAUCAAAGGAUUUCUUGCAAUUAUUUCUAGUAUAAAAUGAGU